GAUGAACGCUAGCUACAGGCUUAACACAUGCAAGUCGAGGGGCAGCACAGUGUAGCAAUACAUGGGUGGCGACCGGCGCACGGGUGCGUAACGCGUAUCCAACCUUCCCGUUACUCAGGGAUAGCCUUCCGAAAGGGAGAUUAAUACCUGAUGGUAUUCAAAUUUCGCAUGUUAUUUGAAUUAAAGAUUUAUCGGUAACGGAUGGGGAUGCGUGACAUUAGGUAGAUGGCGGGGUAACGGCCCACCAUGCCUACGAUGUCUAGGGGUUCUGAGAGGAAGGUCCCCCACACUGGAACUGAGACACGGUCCAGACUCCUACGGGAGGCAGCAGUGAGGAAUAUUGGUCAAUGGUCGAGAGACUGAACCAGCCAAGUAGCGUGCAGGAUGACGGCCCUCCGGGUUGUAAACUUCUUUUAUAUAGGAAUAAAACGUCCCACGUGUGGGAUCUUGUAUGUACUAUAUGAAUAAGCAUCGGCUAACUCCGUG
rnacentral:rRNA from 1 species